CUGGUUUGUCAUGAUUGUUCUCAAAUUUAACCAUGCCUAAAGUGGCAACUGGUUUACUAUCACAUAGAACAUUAGUACGCUCAAAAUAUGGUUUUAACAUAUUAAUAUGACACACUCUAUUUUGUUUGCGCCGACCUGGAGUUUUUACAAUAUAAUUCAAAUCAUUAAUUUUACUCUCUAUUGUAUAAGGACCACAAUAUUUAGCCUGUAAAGGAUGUCCAGGGACUGGCAAAAAUACAAGUACCCUAUCACCAGGCUCAAAAACUCUGUCCCUGGCAUCUUUAUCAUACCAUAUUUUCAUCUUGUUCUGUACAUUUUUUAAGUUUUU
rnacentral:lncRNA from 1 species